UACCUUAUACAAUAUUCGGCUUCUGCUUUCUCUCCCUCUGCAUCUUUGUUUUUCGUACCAUAUGCCUCUGUCGGCAAGUUUCUUCAAAGGAUUCCACGAUGCCAGAUUUGGUGAACCUAUCUCUCUCCGCGGCUCUCAAACUCUCUCACUGCUCCUCCGAUGAUGCCCUUGACGUUCCUGUCAAAUCCCUAACCAAUGGCUUCGGUUCCGAACCUGCCUUCGAACCUCGGGUUUUGAAGCGCACCCGUGGCUCCCUGGAUCGGGUCAAGAAACCCCCCACCGCCGAUAAGGCCUUCCAAGAUCGCCUCAAAGAUCCUUUUCUAGUUGGCGCUCCCAAGAUGUGACGCGUGUUACCAUUCUGAAUGUGCAAAAGAAGCUGUUGGGUCUUCCACUCUGAAAAGAUUCAAGUGUCCACUACAUGUAUGCUUCAUUUGCAAGAAAAAGAAGCAGUUUUGGUGUGUUAGGUGUAAAGUAGCUUUCCAUAGUAAAUGUGCAGCAUGGUCAGAUUCAGUGUUGCAACUAAAAGAUCAUCCUGGGCAUACUGUUUGCUGGAGGCAUCCUUAUGAUUGGCACUUGGAUUGGAAGGUUGGCUGACAGGAAUGUUGUAUUUGUUGGAUGAGUAGCCUGAUGCUUCGACAAGUGACAUUUCUCUUCUUUAUAUCAAGAUUUUUGUCUUAAAAAAGUGGAAGUACAUAAAGAUGCCUGAUGCUUUGAAAAGGUGGUUAUCGUGGCGCAUGGUUUAGAUGCAAGUGUGCUUGGGUUGGAUUUUGGUCAGACCGUGGGUGAUGUUCACCCAAGUUUGCAUGGGACUCAGGUGGAACAGUCGACAAAUAUUAGCAAUAGCACAUUGGAAGGUCUAGAGCAGGCCAUUCUCAAGU